UGACCUUGGGGGAGGCCAGGAGGAGGCAGCAUUUGAGCUGAGGCCCGGCUGCAGGCAGAUGUGACUUCAGGGGACAGGAGGUGACAAGACCGGCUGUGCUGGGCUCUCAAGGGGUCCUGAGAGCAGGCCAGCGUUGCCUGGCUGGGACUCAGAAAUCCAGGGCCGUGAUGCGGCCUGCUUCCUUGGACAAGCACAAAGCAGGAGAAAGCACGCUGGACUCGGCCCUGCCACUCACCAGCUGUGCCACCGGGAGCAAGUGCCUGUCCCUCUCUGAGACAAAUUUCCUGUCCUGUGAAACCGCAGCAGUGAUUCCACCCUCUGGAGCUGCUUUGAGGACUAAAGGCAAACCUGAAUCGCAGUAGCUGUUAUCGACUGGAUGCGCUUGUCUUGUGCCCCCAGGCCUUUGCUUGGGCUGUUCCCCCGACCCCUGUCCCCGUCCCAGGCCAGGAAUUCUCUCCUCCUCCCAACCUGCACCUCCACUUGGAGAAGUCCUUCAGGGUCCACCUCUUCCAGUCCUCCUCCAGGUGCCCUGCAGAGCAUCCCGUUCUCUCUUGGAGAAACUCUGAGAGUUCUUUGCCCCAGUAUUCUUUCUCCUCUGAAGAUAGUUUACACACUCCUUGCUUAUAAAAACAGCCUGCACCCACCCAGUGCAAAGCUU